AGGAGAAGAAGGAGAAGAAGAGAAGAAGAAGAAUAUGCCUUGCCUUAACAUUUCAACAAAUGUCAACCUCGAGGGUAUCGACGCCUCCUCUGUUCUCUCUGAGGCUUCAUCCACCGUUGCCAAGAUCAUCGGCAAGCCAGAGGCCUACGUGAUGGUUGUGCUGAAGGGAUCAGUACCCAUGUCUUUUGGUGGCAAUGAGGAGCCAGCAGCAUAUGGCGAGUUGGUGUCGAUUGGAGGUCUGAAUCCUGAUGUCAAUAAGAAACUGAGUGCUGCAAUUUCUGCAAUUCUCGAGACCAAGUUAUCUGUUCCCAAGUCAAGAUUCUUUCUCAAAUUUUACGACACCAAGGGUUCCAACUUCGGAUGGAAUGGCUCCACGUUCUAAGUUUGCCAUUUAGCUGCUUCUGUAAGCUCUUGAAAUUCUCAACUUUUAUGUACUGAUACCAUAGUUAUAAGGAUUUGGUACCAUUAACACUUCAUAUUAUAUGGAGUAUUAUCUAGAUUUCCU
rnacentral:misc_RNA from 1 species